UGUCCAGCAACUCCUAUCCCUACCUCCUCGUGGUACUGGCCGGGAUUCGAGUAACCUUAGGCAAGAUCGGGUAACCAACCACAGUGGGAACUUUGGUGGUAUGCUGACAGGGAAGG
rnacentral:ribozyme from 1 species